UAUUAGUUCCGAUGCACGCUUUUCAACACCCUCUGGACUUCCCGGCGAUCUGAUUUAUCAGUAUGAAUGUCCAUCAAAAGAAACUGAACCCUCAAAGGCAGCCGGGCCCGUCACUCCGGCAGGGAAGCAGCUGGUUAAGAAUAAAGGGGUGGGACUCGUAGGACGGGAUUGGUUUGCCGAUGUAAAACCGGCCUCCUGGUUCGACUAAAGGGACGUCAAUCUACCAAAGGUUUGCCGCGCUCUCUGGCUGGAGGCCGUGCGCAUGCUCGGCACGCAAGGCCGAUUGGGAGUUGUAGUCCGCUCUUGCGUACACUUUGCAUGUCUUACCAAAUUAAAAAGGCGAGAAAGGAA
rnacentral:antisense_RNA from 1 species